rnacentral:sRNA from 1 species
UUUAUUACCAAAUAAAAAUGGUUACGC